rnacentral:rRNA from 3 species
UAAACGACUCUCGGCAACGGAUAUCUCGGCUCACGCAUCGAUGAAGAACGUAGCAAAAUGCGAUACUUGGUGUGAAUUGCAGAAUCCCGUGAACCAUCGAGUUUUUGAACGCAAGUUGCGCCCAAAGCCAUUUGGUCGAGGGCACGUCUGCCUGGGCGUCACGC